GACACAGCAUGAAGGUGCCAUCUAUGAGGAGCAGGCCUUAGCCAGACACCGAAUCUACUGGCACCUUGCUCUUGAACUUCCAGCCUUCAGAAGUUUUCCUUCUCUAGUUUUGGUGUCAAAGUUAUUUCAGACCCAUAAGGUGAAGUGUAAAGAUUCUCUCACUGCUGUUGAUCAGCUGGAAGAAAGCAGACAUUAAAUAUUUCUUAUUUGUUGGAACUUGCAGGUAAAAUCUAUUCAGGUUUUAAAAACAUUUCUUUCUUUUUUAAAUGAUAAUCAUUAAAAAGUGAUUCAAUGUAUAGAGUUCUACUUGGAUUUUCUAACUGUCCACAUAGAGUGUUUUGUUAAUUAGAUAUUCCCAGGAUUCUUUUUCGAUUUAUAUGCUUUUAAAAUAUACAGCAUGAAGCUGUUCAUAGUUUCCUCCUAUAUUUUCAGUCUCUUCUCUAUCUGCAAUUAUGUCAUAUUACUGAUUUCUGUUUUUACUAAUUCCUUCUCUAUAUGCAGAUCUUUCAUAUUACUAAUUCCUGCUUUUUUUCUUUUAAUUUUUAAUUUCUUUCUCUUCCCUUGAGCUAUAGUCACUGGAUAUGACUAUAGUAUUUUUUUGGCAAAAAGCUGGGUUUUGGUUUUAUUUAUUGUUUCUGUUAGGUUUAUUAUUUCUACAUCUAUUUUAACUAUUCUAUCUUUCUUCAUUUAAGGUUUACUUUUAUGUUCUUACUGAAAAAAUCUUUAUUUGUAUCAUUGAGUCAUUGCUUUUGUUAUUUUUUAAUAAGGGCAAUUAAGACAAUUUCUCCUCAAAUCUUGCUUUCACGUCAUCUCAUGCUUUUGAUUAUAAUAUAUUCAUUAUAAUUCCAUUCUAGUUAUUUUCAGGCUUUUAUUGUGAUUCAUACUUUUAUGUUUAGGUUAUGUUUAGGGCUCUUUAUAUUUACAAAUGUACAUGUACUACUCAUGUUUCAUCAGGAGAACAGAACCAUAGUAUAUAUUUCAAAAGGGAAUUUAGCAUGAGUAAUUAAUUACAACCGAAUGGGAAAAUUAAAAUGCAAAAAGCAAACACUACUGUAACUCUGAAAUAAUAACUUUAGAGGUAGCUGCCUAAUAUGGUUUGGCUAUGUCCUCACCCAAAUGCUGUCUUGAAUUCCCACAUGUCAUGGGGGAGACCCAGUGGGAAGUAAUUGAAUCAUGGGAGUGGGUCUUUCCCACGUUGUUUGCGUGAUAGUCAAUGUCUCACAAGAUCUACUGGUUUAAAAAGGGGAGUUUCUCUGCACACACUCUUUUCUUGACUGCUGCCUUUGUGAGGCAUGCCUUUCACCUUCCACCAUGAUCGUGAGGCCUCCUCGGGCAUGUGGAACUGUAAGUUCAGUGAAUCUUUCUUUUGUAAAUUGUCCAGUCUUGGAGAUGUCUUUCUCAGCAGUGUGAAAAUGGACUAAUAUGCUGCCAGUACUGGGACUGAAAAUGAAUGACACAAGGAAAAAGCUGGUGGUGAGAUUUCUGUGGAGGGAUGCUGCCUCACUGCUGCUGGUCCUGGAGCAGACACUAGGGAGUGGCUCUGGGAUGCUCUAAGAAGUUGGAGCUAAAACAGCUGUGGCUCUCAGGGUGAAGUUGGCAGGAACAGGAAGACAGACAGGAAGUCCCACCUCCAGGCUCCAGAGAGUGCUUCCUAUUGGCCAAAACUUACAGGAAGCCAAAUGAGAAUUGGAAAAUAAGUUUUGUAAAGUCUCAGCUCCUGAAUCGCAGAGCGGAUUACAGUAGGUGAUUUUGAGCUGAAACUUAAUACAUAUUUAACAAAACAGAUGUCAAAAGUAGUCAUUGCUAUGUAACUGUAGUGCUCUUUUCCAUUUGCAGCUGAUGAUUGAACAACAUGAGUCUAAACUGUGUAAAUGCAUUUGUGAGUGGAUUUUUUUCAAUAAAAGUUAUGCUGAGUGUG